GACCCAGUGGUGAGAGGAAUCGCACUGGCGUAGCAUGUCCAAAGUCACUGCGAGAAUCUUUCAAGCUGUAGAUGGUCCUGGUUCGAAUCCAGGCUGGGUCA